rnacentral:rRNA from 1 species
AACGAACGCUGGCGGCAUGCCUAACACAUGCAAGUCGAACGAAGGCUUCGGCCUUAGUGGCGCACGGGUGCGUAACGCGUGGGAAUCUGCCCUUAGGUUCGGAAUAACAGUUAGAAAUGACUGCUAAUACCGGAUGAUGACGUAAGUCCAAAGAUUUAUCGCCUGAGGAUGAGCCCGCGUAGGAUUAGCUAGUUGGUGUGGUAAAGGCGCACCAAGGCGACGAUCCUUAGCUGGUCUGAGGGGAUGAUCAGCCACACUGGGACUGAGACACGGCCCAGACUCCUACGGGAGGCAGCAGUGGGGAAUAUUGGACAAUGGGCGCAAGCCUGAUCCAGCAAUGCCGCGUGAGUGAUGAAGGCCUUAGGGUUGUAAAGCUCUUUUACCCGUGAUGAUAAUGACAGUAGCGGGAGAAUAAGCCCCGGCUAACUCCGUG